rnacentral:rRNA from 1 species
GACAGAGGGUGCAAACGUUGUUCGGAAUCACUGGGCGUAAAGCGUACGUAGGCGGACCGUUAAGUCGGGGGGUGAAAAUCCCAGGGCUCAACCCCUGGAACUGCCCUUCGAUACUGGCGGUCUGGAGUCCGGGGAGAGGUGGAGUGGAACUCCUAGUGUAGAGGGUGAAAAUUCGUAGAUUAUUAGGGAAAGAAACACCAAGUGGCGAAAGGGCGGGCUCACUGGGCCCCCGGGUACCUGGACGCUGAAGGGUGGCGAAAAGCGGUUGGGGGAGGCAAA